CUGACUGCAGUCCUCAUGCUUGGAGUCAAACACUUUAACCACUACGCAAGUUUAUGUAAUAGGAUUGACAUAUCAGAAUCACAGAAAGGAAUGAAAGAUUAGAGGUAAACAAGAGCCAAGUAAUAGUGGAGGUGAGAGGGGGAAGUGGGCGUGGCUGCGUGAGAGGGAGAAGUGGGCGUGACUACAAAAGGACAGCAAAGGAUUCCAGGCUCAAAGCAAACAAUUUGUAUUUAACUGUUUCAGUGCUGAUAACCUAGUUUUGAUAUUGUGUAACAGCACUGGUAAAGCUGGGUAAGAAGAUUGAAAAAUCUCAAUUUUUUUUUUUUUAAAUUGCUGCAUGAGAACAUUCAAAAAGCCUAACAAAAGUGGGAGAAAGUGCUUGCUACCAAGCCUGAUGACCUAAAUUGAAUCCUGGAACCUACAGGACAAAAAGAGAGAGCUGACUGCUGAAAGAUGUCCUCAGAUCUUCACAUAUGCACAGUGGCACCUAUCCGACCAUGCACAUAGUAUAUUAAAAAUUAUUUUU
rnacentral:lncRNA from 1 species